UACGUAGGGGGCUAGCGUUGUCCGGAAUCAUUGGGCGUAAAGCGCGUGUAGGCGGCCCGAUAAGUCCGCUGUGAAAGUCCAGGGCUCAACCCUGGGAUGCCGGUGGAUACUGUCGGGCUCGAGUCCGGAAGAGGCGAGUGGAAUUCCUGGUGUAGCGGUGAAAUGCGUAGAUAUCUGGAGGAACACCGGUGGCGAAGGCGGCAUCCUGGACCAACACUGACGCUGAGGAGCGAAAGCCAGGGGAGCAAACGGG
rnacentral:rRNA from 1 species